AGGCUUCGGCCUCAGUGGCGAACGGCGGAGUAAUACAUAAGCAACGUGCCCUGAAGACUGGGAUAGCCCGGGGAAACCCGGAGUAAUACCGGAUGUGGCCACUCUUAGUAUCUAGGAGUGAUUAAAUGGUUUUUCGCUUUAGGAGCGGCUUAUGGCCUAUCAGCUAGUUGGUGAGGUAACGGCUCACCAAGGCGACGACGGGUAACGGGUCUGAGAGGAUGAUCCGUCCGAGUGGGACUGAGACACGGCCCACACACCUACGGGUGGCAGCAGUUGGGAAUCUUGCACAAUGGGGGAAACCCUGAUGCAGCGACGCCGCGUGGAGGAUGAAGGAUCUAGGUCUGUAAACUCCUUUUAUCGGGAAAGACUUAGGACGGUACCCGAUGAAUAAGCACCGGCUAACUACGUGCCAGCAGCCGCGGUAAGACGUAGGGUGCAAGCGUUGUCCGGAUUUACUGGGCGUAAAGAGCGCGUAGGCGGUCUGUUAAGUGUGAAGUGAAAUCUCCAGGGCUCAACCCGGAAACUGCUUCGCAUACUGGCAGACUGGAGGGAUGCAGAGGUGAGUGGAAUUCCUGGUGUACCGGUGAAAUGGGUAGAUAUCAGGAGGAACACCCGUGGCGAAGGCGGCUCACUGGGCAUCACCUGACGCUGAGGCGCGAAAGUGUGGGUAGCAAACAGGAUUAGAUACCCUGGUAGUCCACACCCUAAACGAUGGAUACUAGGCGUAAGAGGUAUCGACCCCUCUUGUGCCGCAGCUAACGCACUAAGUAUCCCGCCUGGGGAGUACGGCCGCAAGGUUGAAACUCAAAUGAAUUGACGGGGACCCGCACAAGCGGUGGAGCAUGUGGAUUAAUUCGAUACUAACCGAAGAACCUUACCCAGGUUUGACAUCGAUCGAAAGC
rnacentral:rRNA from 1 species